ensembl:ncRNA Y7A5A.22 ncRNA
UUUGAACCUUACACUUUUAGAUAUUCAAAAUUAUUUUUCAAAUCAUUAUAUUUUCAGACUAUCUGGUGGAUGGUCCACUGCUUUUUUUUUAAAUUUUUACACUGAACAAUGCCAAUGAUGGAUUAGUUGCGAGUCUAUGUCAAAUUUGAGACUACCAUGAAUGGAUAUUUGGUACCAAAAAAUCAGAAACACAAAAGGAGGAAAUCAGAAAGCUGAUGGAAGCUGGGGCGACUGAAGAUGAGGAAAUUGAUGAUGAAAGGAAAAAGAUCAAUAAUGCAGAUGCACUGCGAAAAGAUCAGCAGAAGCACGAGCAGGAUGCCAGAAAAAGAUGAGCUAGAGAAAAGCCGGAAAAAUCUGAAGCAAGGAAGCAGCGUGAAAUUUUAUAAUGUGCUCAAAAAUGCAAUGUGUUGAAAAGAAUGAUCGACAAAGCUUUAAAAAUUGCAGAAAGCUAUUGAAACAAGAAAUAGCUCACAAGCUCAACUUUGAGCAGACAGUUGAUGACUAUCAGGAACAACCAAGUAUUGAUGGACUACAAAGGACAAUGCAAG